rnacentral:tRNA from 1 species
GGAGGCCCAAUACAGUGGCCGAGUGCGCCCGCCUGCUAAGCGGGUGGGGCGGGUAACCGCCCCCGUGGGUUCGAAUCCCACUCCCUCCGCCA